rnacentral:rRNA from 1 species
GGGAGCAAACAGGAUUAGAUACCCUGGUAGUCCACGCCCUAAACGAUGUACACUAGUUGUUGGGGUGCUAGUCAUCUCAGUAAUGCAGCUAACGCAUUAAGUGUACCGCCUGGGGAGUACGGUCGCAAGAUUAAAACUCAAAGGAAUAGACGGGGACCCGCACAAGCGGUGGAGCAUGUGGUUUAAUUCGAAGAUACGCGAAGAACCUUACCUGGGCUUGAUAUCCUAAGAACCUUUUAGAGAUAAGAGGGUGCUAGCUUGCUAGAACUUAGAGACAGGUGCUGCACGGCUGUCGUCAGCUCGUGUCGUGAGAUGUUGGGUUAAGUCCCGCAACGAGCGCAACCCACGUAUUUAGUUGCUAACGGUUCGGCCGAGCACUCUAAAUAGACUGCCUUCGUAAGGAGGAGGAAGGUGUGGACGACGUCAAGUCAUCAUGGCCCUUAUGCCCAGGGCGACACACGUGCUACAAUGGCAUAUACAAUGAGACGCAAUACCGCGAGGUGGAGCAAAUCUAUAAAAUAUGUCCCAGUUCGGAUUGUUCUCUGCAACUCGAGAGCAUGAAGCCGGAAUCGCUAGUAAUCGUAGAUCAGCCAUGCUACGGUGAAUACGUUCCCGGGUCUUGUACUCACCGCCCGUCACACCAUGGGAGUUGAUUUCACUCGAAGCCGGAAUACUAAACUAGUUACCGUCCACAGUGGAAUCAGCGACUGGGGUGAAGUCGUAACAAGGUAACCGUAGGAGAACCUGCGGUUGGAUCACCUCCUUUCUA